CCGGCCUAAGCGCAGGCGCUAGGCGACCGGAGCCGGCCCGAGCCGGCCCGCGCAGGCCCGAGCUCGCCUUCCGACCCCGGCACGAAGGCGAGGGCGGGCGGAGGCAGGGCCUUUUUCUCCCCUGCACAAUCUAGACGCCGUCCUCCCCCAGCCCAGCCAAGACUGCAUUCUCCGGUACCUGUUGAAAACAAAGAGGAAAAUAUUUAAGAAGGCUAAAUAAAGGAAGGAAAUAAACUAAUUCAAAUGUAAUGAAACUGGGUGCACAUCCUUCUACCAAUGAGGAUAUGGCUCAGUGUGGAUAAGGAAAUGACCUUGUACAUGAGACCAUCAGCACAGUGGUGCUCACCCACAUUGCACACUGAUGUAUCACGGAGCGGCUGGACAGGAAGGGAAGAUUAAGCAUAAACGCCCAGCCUGCCGUAUCUAAGCAGCAGUCAUUCUUUUCAGUUACGUGUGUGACUAAUGAGAAUCUCAUCCAUCAGGUAUGUCUUAAUGGCCAAUCCCAAAAGAGCACCACAGAAAGACGUCUACUCUUCUGUCACAUGUGCAAUGCUGGUACUUUUUUCUAGAAUGUUCUCAGAACCUGGAAGAAUGUGGACUGAAAAAUGCUUACCGUGGUA